rnacentral:rRNA from 1 species
GAUUUUCCGGUUGAUCCUGCCGGACCUGACUGCUAUCGGAUUGGUACUAAGCCAUGCGAGUCAUUGUACAAUACAAGGCGGACGGCUCAGUAACACGUAGUCAACCUAACUCGUGGACGUGGAUAACCUCGGGAAACUGAGAAUAAAACACGAUAGAUCAUAGUGCCUGGAAUGGCUUAUGGUCCAAACAGUUUACUGCCAUGGGAUGGGACUGCGGCCUAUCAGCUUGUUGGUGAGGUAAUGGCCCACCAAGGCGAUUACAGGUACGGGCUCUGAGAGGAGAAGCCCGGAGAUGGGUACUGAGACACGGACCCAGGCCCUAUGGGGCGCAGCAGGCGAGAAACCUUAGCAAUGUGCGAAAGCACGACUGGGUCAGUCCGAGUGAUUCCUGAUAAAGGAGUCUUUUGCUUGUCCUAAAAGCACAAGUGAAUAAGGGGUGGGCAAGUCUGGUGUCAGCCGCCGCGGUAAUACCAGCACCUCGAGUGGUCAGGACGUUUAUUGGGCCUAAAGCAUCCGUAGCCGGCUCUGCAAGUCUUCGGUUAAAUCCACCUGCUCAACAGAUGGGCCGCUGGAGAUACUACAGAGCUAGGGAGUGGGAGAGGCAGACGGUAUUCAGUG